rnacentral:lncRNA from 1 species
GAUGUCUAUGACUGCCAUUUGGGCUCAUCUUUUCCUUUGGCCCAAAUAGAAGAAUAAUCAAGAUGUCAGCAGGAGGCUAGUAUUUCUUGUGUGACUCCCCAUCUCAUGGUUGUCCAGGCUGAUGACAGAGGGAGGCAUCUUGGUAAUGUGACUGAGUAAGGAGGGAGGGUGGCUCAUUAUAGUACAGUGGUGAGGAGUAGGGGACCCUGGGUUAGAUGGAUCUGAGGGUCUAUGUGACUGCAGGAAAAUUAUUAAGCUUCUCUGGGCCUUAAUUUUCUCAUUUGUAAGAUGAGUAAGGAGCACUGCAGGUCUGAGUGUUGCUAUGGGAGGCAAAUGAAGUGAUGCAUGUAAAGUGCCUCACAGAGUGUCAGCCCGCCUUGGCCUGCCCAGGAAAUGUUCACCCUUGGUAUUUUCGUCACUAGAUUUCUCAUCACGAGAUUGAUGACUUUUGUGACAUUGUCCCUAAGUGGUGAGUCUUCUAUUUUUUUUUUUUUUUGGCAUGGGCAAGUUAUGGGGACGUGUGAACAUUGUGUAAUAUCUGCAUUGGUUUCCAAGUGGUAUGUCAAAAUGUCCCCUUCUGGGGCUGCUUAUGGAUGUGGGUUGGAGGUACAAGGCUCUGGUAUUGUCCACCCCCUGUCAUUAGAAAAACUUGACAACUGUACCAGCUAUAGAUUGGGCUUCAAGUGGGUCAGGCUCAAACACUAGGUAACCCUGAGGAGUGGGUGAGAGUCAAAGAUACAGUUUGGUACUGUCACAGUGACCCUGCAUUUUAGUCCCAAGUUUAGCUAAUCUGAGCAGUCUGGUUAAAUGGGAAUAAUGAUUUUAGCUAUUGCACAAUGUAUCUUAUGAUUCAAAUGAGAUCUUGCCUGCAAAUCCCUGCACAUUUCAGAGAGUUUAAAGCUGGGUACAGUUACCUAAAGUACAGCAACUGGCAUAUACUAGGUGAACAAUCAAUAGUAGUGGUUGUUCUUGUCUUUAGUAAUAAUAGUGGGGGCUGGCAUUGUGCUGCAGUGGAUUAAGCCACCGUCUAUGACUCCAGCAUCCCAUAUGAAUGCUGGUACCAGCCCUGGCUGCUCCACUUGUGAUCCAGCUCCCAGAUAAUGCACCUUGGAAGGCAGUGGAAGAUGGCCCAAAUCCUUGGACCCCUGCCACCCAUUUGGGAGACCCAGAUGGAGUUCCAGGCCCCUGAUUUCAGCCUGGCCUAACCCUAAGGGUCAUUUGGGGAGUGAACCAGUAGAUAAGAUCUCUCUUUCACUCUCCCUCUCCAACUCCUUCCUUCAAAUAAAUAGCUUAAAAAUUUUGAAAAUAUUAUAAGU